rnacentral:rRNA from 1 species
GACGAAGGAUGCAAGCGUUAUCCGGAUUCAUUGGGUUUAAAGGGAGCGUAGGUGGCCUUGUAAGUCAGUGGUGAAAUCCUGUCGCUUAACGAUAGAAUUGCCAUUGAUACUGCAGGGCUUGAGUACAGUUGCCGUUGGCGGAAUAUGACAUGUAGUGGUGAAAUACAUAGAUAUGUCAUAGAACACCGAUUGCGAAGGCAGCUGACGAAACUGUAACUGACACUGAGGACUCGAAAGUGUGGGGAUCAAACAGG